ensembl:lncRNA
AUGCAUCUGGAGAGGUCCCACCGCCUUCUGAUCUUCCUGGAUCAAACGUCGGUAGAGAACCGGCUCAGCCACCGGCAGCGCCCUGGGAGAACAACUGCAAACUUUGCUCUGGUCAGUAAAGUUACUCAAACUUUUGUCUUUGGCGCGACUCUGGGUCGGGAGCGGCGCGCACAAAACAGUUUGUUUGCAUCACUGAUUUCUUUUAAAGGGAUACGGACCCAGUUCUGGGUCGAGCGCAGCGUCACGACAGGCAAACAGCAGAACAUGGGAAGACUCAUCACGCUUCCCUGCGCCUUUGAAAUCACACAAGAAGGACUCUCGGGCUGUCACCUUUCAUUUCUGCUGAAUUUUGCUACCAACUAAAUGACGGAAGCAGAGUCCAGAAUGAACAGAAAGGUUCAAAUGCGUAACCGACGCGCUGUUCCAAUAUAAAAAACAGAGACGUUUUAGAUGAUUAAACAGAAAAAAAAAAUGCUUAAGUAGUUUAAAAUUGAAGCUUUGACGUGCCAGUUUGUCGUUUUCUUACAGAAAAAGACAAUUUCAAGUUGAGCUCUGUUUGCAUCUUGUGUGUGUAUUUAAUGUAGUGCCUAAUCCACAUCCAGUAAGCUUUUCAUUUAUCCAAGAUCAUAUUUUUUUAUUUGCGUAAUUUUCAAAUCCUGGAUUUCCAUAAUAGGUCAUUUGACGUAAAAUUAUUUUUUUAUUCCUUUAGCUAAAUGUGUUUUCACUCUUAAUUGGGCUAACGUGAACCACGUGCACCUACUAGAAAUACAUUUUUUUGAAUAUUUUGUUUUAAAACUAUGUUGCGGUGCAUUUAAAUGCGCUGAAAUGUGUUUUUUCUUCUCUCAUCGGGAAUGCCUGCCCUGUAAGCAAGGAACCCCGGGGGUCCUUGCGGUUCACUUUGACAACCGAUGCUUCAAUCACCUAUUGUUUUACGCGCACUGAUGCGCACUGCGCUUCCAAACUCUCAAAUAAAUAAAAUAAAACAUGUCACAGUUUCUCAAAUGCAGAUGAAAUAUUGGGAGUAGCCUGUGUAGGAGCAUGCACUGGAUUUAAAUUAGACUUCCUCUCCCAUAGUCCGGGACUCUUUCUCUUUACAAGGGAAGGAUGGGCGUUUGUGGACUGCUCCAGAGUCUGCGUCAUGUGGCUUGGUUUCUGGCAUGCUAUUGGUCUAAGGCACGUGUCUGGGAGGACGGUGGGAGAGCGUCACUUAGGGGGCUCGUAUUGAAAAUAAGAACAAAACUCCAGAGUGAGAGUAUUAGAGCAUCAGUUUAGGAGCCUCUUUAUUUACCCCUAGUUUAGUUUAGGUGUAGGCUUUACUGGGCAGACUGAAAUCCAGUGGCAGUAAAUCUGUUGGUGCGCAAAUGGCUGAUGCUUUAGCUGAGAGCUUUCAGUUGUAACCCGAGAGUGAGGGGAUAUAUGUCUAAAAUUAUGCUUUUCUCAAAGGACACGGCCGCAAGACUUUGCAUGGUGUCCAGGGCACUGCGUAUUCUUUGAGGUUGUAUUUAUUUCUUCAACCAGUGCUGGUUUUCUUUUUGGGCAAUCCCAUUUCCCCGAAGUUCUGCGCGAAUCUUAUUGCAGCGGAGGGAGCGAUAAAGGGGUUAACGCGAGUAA